UACGGAGGGAGCUAGCGUUGUUCGGAUAUACUGGGCGUAAAGCGCACGUAGCGGCGCCGUAAGUCAGGGGUGAAAUCCCGGAGCUCAACUCCGGAACUGCCCUUGAAACUGCAGUGCUAGAAUCUUGGAGAGGCGAGUGGAAUUCCGAGUGUAGAGGUGAAAUUCGUAGAUAUUCGGAAGAACACCAGUGGCGAAGGACGACUCGC
rnacentral:rRNA from 1 species